GACGAACGCUGGCGGCGUGCUUAACACAUGCAAGUCGAACGGAAAGGCCCCUUUGGGGGUACUCGAGUGGCGAACGGGUGAGUAACACGUGAGUAACCUGCCCUUGACUUCGGGAUAACUUCAGGAAACUGGGGCUAAUACCGGAUAGGAAUCCUUGCUGCAUGGUGGGGGUUGGAAAGCUUCGGCGGUUUUGGAUGGACUCGCGGCUUAUCAGCUUGUUGGUGGGGUAGUGGCUUACCAAGGCUUUGACGGGUAGCCGGCCUGAGAGGGCGACCGGCCACUUUGGGCCUGGGAUACGGCCCAGACUCCUACGGGAGGCAGCAGUGGGGAAUAUGCACAAUGGGCGGAAGCCUGAUGCAGCAACGCCGCGUGCGGGAUGACGGCCUUCGGGUUGUAAACCGCUUUCAGCAGGGGCGAAGCUUGUGGUGACGGUACCUGCAGAAGAAGCACCGGCUAACUACGUG
rnacentral:rRNA from 1 species